rnacentral:sRNA from 1 species
AAGGUGAACGCUGCGCUCGGGGUGCCUCGCCUGCUACCUCCGCCGCCGGGCAUGCUCAGCGUCUGCAGCUGCCGGACCAGCUCCGGCAUGCGGUCCCAGUGACCCUCGGCGCGGCAGCGCUCUAGCUCGCUCUCCACCUUCAGAUAUUGAUGACCAUGAGAUCCCUGCUCAGAACCCCCUUCCUGUGUGGCCUGCUCUGGGCCUUUUGUGCCCCAGGCGCCAGGGCUGAGGAGCCUGCAGCCAGUUUCUCCCAACCCGGCAGCAUGGGCCUGGAUAAGAACACAGUGCACGACCAAGAGCAUAUCAUGGAGCAUCUAGAAGGUGUCAUCAACAAACCAGAGGCGGAGAUGUCACCACAAGAAUUGCAGCUCCAUUACUUCAAAAUGCAUGAUUAUGAUGGCAAUAAUUUGCUUGAUGGCUUAGAACUCUCCACAGCCAUCACUCAUGUCCAUAAGGAGGUAGGUCUGGUGGUGGCUUGGGGGACUGUAUCACAGAAAGGUUUCCCUUUGUUAAUUUGGUCCCCAGUCUUGUUGACUUGUGUUGUCCUUAUGUGCCAAGAGUGCUGCUU